rnacentral:rRNA from 1 species
UACGGAGGGGCUAGCGUUGUUCGGAAUUACUGGGCGUAAAGCGCACGUAGGCGGAUCGGAAAGUUGGGGGUGAAAUCCCGGGGCUCAACCCCGGAACUGCCUCCAAAACUAUCGGUCUGGAGUCCGAGAGAGGUGAGUGGAAUUCCGAGUGUAGAGGUGAAAUUCGUAGAUAUUCGGAGGAACACCAGUGGCGAAGGCGGCUCACUGGCUCGGUACUGACGCUGAGGUGCGAAAGCGUGGGGAGCAAACAGGAUUAGAUACCCGCGUAGUCCCUGAGCGGGCU